UACGUAGGGUGCGAGCGUUAAUCGGAAUUACUGGGCGUAAAGCGUGCGCAGGCGGUGAUGUAAGACAGGUGUGAAAUCCCCGGGCUUAACCUGGGAACUGCAUUGUGACUGCAUCGCUGGAGUGCGGCAGAGGGGGAUGGAAUUCCGCGUGUAGCAGUGAAAUGCGUAGAUAUGCGGAGGAACACCGAUGGCGAAGGCAAUCCCCGUGGGCCUGCACUGACGCUCAUGCACGAAAGCGUGGGGAGCAACAGG
rnacentral:rRNA from 1 species